GUGGGGAAUAUUGGACAAUGGGGGGAACCCUGAUCCAACCAUGCCGCGUGUGUGAAGAAGGCCUUUUGGUUGUAAAGCACUUUAAGCGAGGAGGAGGCUACCGAGAUUAAUACUCUUGGAUAGUGGACGUUACUCGCAGAAUAAGCACCGGCUAACUCUGUGCCAGCAGCCGCGGUAAUACAGAGGGUGCAAGCGUUAAUCGGAUUUACUGGGCGUAAAGCGCGCGUAGGUGGCCAAUUAAGUCAAAUGUGAAAUCCCCGAGCUUAACUUGGGAAUUACAUUCGAUACUGGUUGGCUAGAGUAUGGGAGAGGAUGGUAGAAUUCCAGGUGUAGCGGUGAAAUGCGUAGAGAUCUGGAGGAAUACCGAUGGCGAAGGCAGCCAUCUGGCCUAAUACUGACACUGAGGUGCGAAAGCAUGGGGAGCAAACAGGAUUAGAUACCCUGGUAGUCC
rnacentral:rRNA from 1 species